AAAGCCGCGCCAGGAGGGACGCGCCGAAGGGGGCGGGGAACGGCCCACCAAGCCAGACGGACGGGGGGGAGCAAGACCCGGAGAGGACGAGACAGAACCAGGCCCACGGGGCGCAGCAGGCGCGCAAACACAAGCGAGCAACGGAAAGGAAACCCGAGGCCGCGAGCAGGCGCAAACAAACAAGGAAGAAAGGGCAGGGCAAGACCGGGCCAGCCGCCGCGGAAACCGGCGCCGAGGAGGCCACAACGGGAAAGCGCCGAGCGACGAGGCCGGGAAACCACGCCAACGGAAGGCGCAAGAGAACCGGCAGCGGAACGGGAGAGGAAACCGACCGGGGGAGGAGGAAACGAACCCGAGGGACGACCAGGCGAAGGCAGACCAGAACAGCCGACAGGAGGGACGAAAGCGGGGGAGCAAACGGGAAGAACCCCGGAGCCCAGCCGAAACAAGGCGAGGGGCGGAACCACGAGACGAGCGCCGAAGAGAAACGGAAACGCACCACCGGGAAGAC
rnacentral:rRNA from 1 species